rnacentral:rRNA from 1 species
UACGAAGGGGGCUAGCGUUGUUCGGAAUCACUGGGCGUAAAGGGCGCGUAGGCGGCCAUUCAAGUCGGGGGUGAAAGCCUGUGGCUUAACCACAGAAUUGCCUUCGAUACUGUUUGGCUUGAGACCGGAAGAGGUUAGUGGAACUGCGAGUGUAGAGGUGAAAUUCGUAGAUAUUAGGAAGAACACCAGUGGCGAAGGCGGCCAACUGGCCCGAUACUGACGCUCAUGUGCGAAAGCGUGGGGAGCAAACAGG